AACGAACGCUGGCGGCAUGCCUAACACAUGCAAGUCGAACGAGACCUUCGGGUCUAGUGGCGCACGGGUGCGUAACGCGUGGGAACCUGCCCUUAGGUUCGGAAUAACUCCCCGAAAGGGGUGCUAAUACCGGAUAAUGUCUUCGGACCAAAGAUUUAUCGCCUUUGGAUGGGCCCGCGUUGGAUUAGCUAGUUGGUAGGGUAAAAGCCUACCAAGGCGACGAUCCAUAGCUAGUCUGAGAGGAUGAUCAGCCACACUGGGACUGAGACACGGCCCAGACUCCGACGGGAGGCAGCAGUAGGGAAUAUUGGACAAUGGGCGAAAGCGUGAUCCAGCAAUGCCGCGUGAGUGAUGAAGGCCUUAGGGUUGUAAAGCUCUUUUACCCGGGAUGAUAAUGACAGUACCGGGAGAAUAAGCACCGGCUAACUCCGUG
rnacentral:rRNA from 1 species